rnacentral:rRNA from 1 species
GACGAACGCUGGCGGCGUGCCUAAUACAUGCAAGUAGAACGCACAGUUUAUACCGUAGCUUGCUACACCAUAAACUGUGAGUUGCGAACGGGUGAGUAACGCGUAGGUAACCUGCCUGGUAGCGGGGGAUAACUAUUGGAAACGAUAGCUAAUACCGCAUAAUAUUGAUUAUUGCAUGAUAAUUGAUUGAAAGACGCUAUUGCAUCACUACCAGAUGGACCUGCGUUGUAUUAGCUAGUAGGUGAGGUAACGGCUCACCUAGGCGACGAUACAUAGCCGACCUGAGAGGGUGAUCGGCCACACUGGGACUGAGACACGGCCCAGACUCCUACGGGAGGCAGCAGUAGGGAAUCUUCGGCAAUGGACGAAAGUCUGACCGAGCAACGCCGCGUGAGUGAAGAAGGUUUUCGGAUCGUAAAGCUCUGUUGUAAGAGAAGAACGGGUGUGAGAGUGGAAAGUUCACACUGUGACGGUAUCUUACCAGAAAGGGACGGCUAACUACGUG